GACGAACGCUGGCGGCGUGCUUAACACAUGCAAGUCGAGCGGUAAGGCCCUUUCGGGGGUACACGAGCGGCGAACGGGUGAGUAACACGUGGGUGACCUGCCCUUAGCUCUGGGAUAAGCCUGGGAAACUGGGUCUAAUACCGGAUAUGACUCCAUGACGCAUGUUGUGGGGUGGAAAGCCUUGUGCGGCUAGGGAUGGGCCCGCGGCCUAUCAGCUUGUUGGUGGGGUGAUGGCCUACCAAGGCGACGACGGGUAGCCGGCCUGAGAGGGCGACCGGCCACACUGGGACUGAGACACGGCCCAGACUCCUACGGGAGGCAGCAGUGGGGGAAUCUUGCGCAAUGGGCGAAAGCCUGACGCAGCGACGCCGCGUGAGGGAUGACGGCCU
rnacentral:rRNA from 1 species